UGCUUAGUGGUUAUAUUACUACCUGAAAUAAACAAGCAGAAACUUCUGCUUGUUUAUUUCAGGUAGUAAUAUAACCACUCAGCAC
rnacentral:miRNA from 1 species